rnacentral:rRNA from 1 species
UACGUAGGGGGCUAGCGUUGUCCGGAUUUAUUGGGCGUAAAGAGCGUGUAGGCGGCCAGGUAGGUCUGCUGUGAAAACUCGAGGCUCAACCUCGAGACGUCGGCGGAAACCAUCUGGCUAGAGUCCGGAAGAGGAGAGUGGAAUUCCUGGUGUAGCGGUGAAAUGCGCAGAUAUCAGGAGGAACACCUGUGGCGAAAGCGGCGCACUGGACCACAUCUGACGCUGAGGCGCGAAAGCUAGGGGAGCAAACAGG